rnacentral:rRNA from 1 species
ACGAAGGUCCCAAGCGUUGUUCGGAAUCACUGGGCGUAAAGAGUGCGUAGGCGGCGCGGAAAGUCAGAUGUGAAAUCCCGGGGCUCAACCUCGGAACGGCAUCCGAUACUCCCGCGCUAGAGGACUGGAGAGGAGUCUGGAAUUCACGGUGUAGCAGUGAAAUGCGUAGAUAUCGUGAGGAACACUAGUGGCGAAGGCGAGACUCUGGACAGUUCCUGACGCUGAGGCACGAAGGCCAGGGGAGCGAAGGGGAUUAGAUACCCCCGUAGUCCUGGCAGUAAACGGUGCUCGCUUGGUAUGCGCGGUUUCGACCCCGUGCGUGCCGGAGCUAACGCGUUAAGCGAGCCGCCUGGGAAGUACGGUCGCAAGAUUA